GGGGGUGCUAGGUUUCGACAGAAAGAUUGAGAUAAAACUGCUCUUUGUCCUGAGAAAGACAUAAAAUUUCUCAACAAAAAAUAAUUGCCAACGAAAAUCUGGCUUUUGCUGUAGCUUAACAAAAGUUAUAGCCGUUGAUAUUAGAGAUUCUCGCUAUCUAAUAUUGGCGUCAAUUAGCGAGAUAAAUGUUUUAAUUGCCUAAAUUAAAACAUUGAAAUAAAUCGGGCUAAGAUUUCAGAAAUUUUGUCUGGUCUUGAUUCUGAAAUCCGAAAAAAUAAACCGGACUAUAAGAGUAGAGAGAUUUAUUGAUACUUUCUGGACAGGGCUUCGAUGCCCUCACCUCCAC
rnacentral:tmRNA from 1 species